rnacentral:pre_miRNA from 7 species
CAGCUCUCACCGCGGUGGCUGAUGGGAGGUGGAGAUAGAACGAGGGUGUCGGCCAUUUUGUGUCUGUUUCCUGCGGGACGCGCUGGUGGCGGU